GUGAAUUGUUUUGGUAACAGUAUUAACCACCCACCCACCAGUGAGCAGGUCCCACCUCUGAUGCAGGUCAAGAAAGUGUCUUCAUUGUUUGUCCUGACCUAGAAGCUUCUCUCUCUCUAAUUUCAGAGUCCUUAGCCCUGUUCCCAAGACUUCAAUGACCAAACUGCCAAAGGGCCAAGGAGUAUCUUGUAGCUUUGCCCGGGGGUAGGAGGAGUGCCCCCACAUGGUGUCACAACAGUGCCUGAGUGACUUGGGCAGAAUCCAGGGACCAAGGAGUCUGUUUCCACAGCACAGCUUCUCCUUUUCUAGAAGAACAGCAGGAACCUUUCCAGUCAUAGCCAGGAGGCAAUCAGAGCUAACAGUGUCCUGGGGCAACCAGGAGGCAGUGCCAGAUGCCUGGAACCCAGAGGAGUGUCAGCUUCUACUGAAAAGGAACUGUACCAUCUUCACUAUUGACUUUUAUGAGACUGGCAGACAGGAGCAGCAAUGGCCUUGCAGAUGGAGAUCCAAGCCCCAGUGGGAUGCGGAAGCUGAGCUGCCAUGGAUGCUCUGACCACAGGUUCAUCAUCUCUGGACCAGAAGCUUACACGAGUCCAGGGGUAUGCUUCCUAAGGCUCAUUUCCGUGUGGAAACAGGUAUAGGAAGAGAACAUUCCUGACUAAAGUGGCUCACUCAUACAGAGAGUCUGGUCUGAGUGCUUAUGCCAAUUACCUUCUGUCUGCAUAGCUUCCUGCUUGCCAAAGACCUUCCACUGAACACAGAGGGGAGCACCAGGCAGGGGACAUGCUGAAUGGAUGAAUUUACUCUGCCACACUGAGACUGGUGAAGAAGGGAAGGACUGGAAACUCAAGUGAAGGUGUUGUCAGAGGAUAAUAAGGCCCAUCAGGGCUUCUAAAUUCUAAUUUGCAAGGACUUAAAAAACAGGACUCCUGUGCAAAUACACAGUGAGUGUGAAAGCAUUUGCUCGGCUCCUGCAUUGACGAGUCAGCCACUCAGAGGCUGUAAAUGGACUAGUGCUGUGAGUGACUUGAAGAAGGAUAUUUAUAUGGGAGCCUGAAGCUCUUGUUUUGCUUUUCGAUGAAAAGCUUGUCAACUUUCAACUGAUGAGGAGGAGCACAAAUUGGGAAGUCUUUGAAGGAAGGAGAAACACAGGUUGAGUUCCUGGCUGCCCGUUGAGUGGAUCAGGACAGUUAGCAGCUUUUGAACUGAGUGAUGGCCUUGAGACUCUCUUCUCACUUACUUGUAACCUCUUCUGUGCCAAGUGAAGUGUGGUGAUGGGCAGAAUGCUCUCACACUGUAUAACUCGGGUUUACUGAUGCUACCACCGCCUUUGCCGGAUGUUAAAGGUAUAUUAAUUGAUUAUUAACGAUGAAUUCCCCCGUUUGUUUUAGUUCGAUUACUAUCACCUGAGAUAAGAACGGUCUCUAAGGAUCAAGGGUUUACUUGAAGUAGUUACUCACUGGAGGGUAGGCUCCCAGCACAAAGCACAACUGUACCCCACAGGGCUCCCAUGGAACCACUGGCUAAGUUUCCUAACCUCUCCGCAGCUUUAAGUACAGACCCAGCAGUCUUUAUUUUGCUUUGCCUAGCUCUUCCUUCCUUCCUUCCUUUACCUUGGCCCUUGAGUUAGGGUUUGGCCUGGUGGAUCAGACACAGAUCACACCUGAAGUACAAGACGAAUGUUCUAUUGCCUUUUGGUGAUUAAACCAGUCAUGUUAUUGUUGGCAGCCUAGCCCAGAGGUAAGGCAGAGAAAAGCAAGAGGAACAGGAAAUCAUUCUGUAAAAUAUUUACAGGAAAACGUUGGCUUGCUUGAAGUGAUUCACUGGCCUGCUUUCCCUCUGUCUUUUUGCCUUCUCUAAUAACUUCCCUCUCGCUGGCUCCCUGUUACACAAGUUUUAGUCUUAAAAGGAGUACUGGGAAGUAAAAUUUUCUUAAUCUGAAGAUAUGAUGCCAUGUUUUGAGUCACACACACACAAAAAACCCCACCAUUUUAAUUAUUAGAAAUAUUCGGUUUUGCUACAAUCAGUCACACGUGUCCCCAACAGCUCCACUCUGUUCCAGCACUAUGCCUUCCAGCUCCAUCUCAUCUGAGGAGCCUGGAUUCUAUGGUCCUGUCCCACAGCUGCUUUGAAAUCUAGAUGAGCAGGUAGUUCUUUAUCCCUAGGGCGGGCUCAAAAUAGUUGAUCCAGGCACUUCAGAAUGUGUGUCCUUCUUAAAUCCCAAGUAAGUGGAAAAAAAAAAAAAAGCCCGCUCCAGAGUACACAGAGCAAAGGACUCCAGGCUGAGCUACUACAGCUGUGCUAGCCCCCUUUGUCAGCUUCACCAUGGAGACCACUAGCCUUCUUUGAAGACCCUUAGAGCAGCAGUGCCUAGGGAAUGUAUAGAGUGACAUUGUUCCUUUCAGAACACCCUCACUCAUGGUAGAAAUGGGCAGGUUAACCAGGAUGAUUAUUCACAAGUAUGUUUUUAGUUUUAGUGAUUGCAAUAUUUAAAACCAAGGAGAGGACUAUUGAAUAGUGAUUUUUUAUAAAUGUGUUCUGGAAAAACUAUAUAAUACUUUCUUGCUUUUGUAGUUCAUGCUGACCUUGAGUAGCCUUGUCUUCUUGGUGCUUACACUUAUGGACAUAUACCACUGUGUCUGCAUGCUGCCUCCUCUCUUCGUAUGGUACUAGAACCUGAGCUUCACACGUCAAGCACAUGUUGUUCUAUUGAGUUAUCAUACCCCCCCAUCACCCAGUGCUUCAUUUAUAAAACCAUAUGACCCUUAUUACAUUUUAAAACUUUAAAUUAUGUGGAUCGGUGUGUAUGUGUACCUGAGUGCAGUUACCAGAGGAGACCAGAAGGUGGCGAUAUAGGAGACCUAGAGCUGGGGUUACAAGCUGUUGUGAGGCACCUACAUGCUACUGAGAACUAAAUUUGUGUCCUCUGCAAGAGCAGUAGGAAAUUGUAACUGCUGAGCUGUCUCUUUGGCUUAAGGCUACCCAGGAUAUAUCUUACUGUUGGGUUUUGUGCUUAUUCAUUUGUUCAUGUUAAACAUAGGAAAUGGUUCAGGCAAAAUAGGGGUUAGGAAAGAAUAUGAAAAUUUAAGGAACAGUUGAAGCAUUGUGUCCUAAGCAAUAUGAAGGUAGAUGGGCAGUAGCCACUUCCUCUGGUUUGAACCAGCCCUUCCUGCAAGGAGUAGGGACGUUGGUAAGAUUCAGAAAUCCAAAGAACAGGACGCUCAGCAAAGCUCAGAAAGUUGAAAGACUCACAAGGCCCCAGGGUAGCAUUACACAAUUGCUCCAGUCUUCCGUGGAGCAGCUUGCAAGCUGUGUAUCGAGCUCCAGCAACCAGCCUUUUGUUUUUGUUUUUUCCAGACAACAGGGCUUCUCUGUGUAGUUCUGGCUAUCCCUAAACUCAUUCUGUAGACCAGGCUGGCCUCAAACUUUUGCCUCUGCCUCCCAAGUGCUGGGACUAAAGGCUUGCACCACCACCUAGCUACAAUGUAGCUCUUUCAUGAACUUUCACCCCUGGCGGGAUAGACUUUUCCAUUGAUGUAGCCACCUUUGUGUUAAUGGUACUCUUGGAAGGAGCCCCUUACUCACAUUCCUAUACAUAAUUCCCCAAAACUAUUAGUUCGCCAAGUUAGAAGUUGUGUAGGUCACUUGCUGUAUUACUGACUCAUUAAAUGGAAAUGGCGCACAAAAAAAAAUGCAUCUGUGGUUUAGUGUCAAUGGAUGCACUGAAUAGCCAUUUGCUCUCUCCCCAGGGGGGGGAAAAAUCACACAACAAUGGACAUCCAUUUCAAUUCAAUAUGGCAC
ensembl:lncRNA